CAAAAUUCAAAGAAAAUCAAAAUCCCUGCCACAUGCACACCUUUCAUGCCCAUACAAACACCAUGAUUGUUAAGUAAGAACGUUCUCAUUUUAAAACUGUGGGAGACAUUCAUUUACUCUCCGUAUGAUACUCCCUCAAAAGGGACAAGCUCAACAACCUGUAAUUUUCUAUAAAAAGGGGAUUAAGGGAAAUUAAAAUCUUUGGUACAUGUACUUGCAGAUCUUCAAUAUCCAUACAAACACAGAUCAUUCUCAAAAGUUGUGAAAUUGUGGGAGGAGUUCGUCGGAAAAUGAGUUGUGAGAUUGGUCGCUGUUCGUUGUCUUCACCUUGUAUUCAUAGGGCAUGAAAAGAGUCCAGGAAUCUGUAGAAAAGCUAUUAACACGUACGUGACAUGCCAUACCAAAGAUAUGGGAAACACUGAUGGAAAUCAAGUCUCCACUUAAAACGUACCAGGAUCACACAAGACUUCUGGAGUCUGUAGCAAAAUUGAUUACAUUUACAUGUUCUGUGGGAACAACGAUUCGGAAAAAACUGAUGGAAAUGACGUCGCCAUAUCAAAGGCACCAGUAUCAAUCUCUGAACCGCGAGAUACAGAAGACGGCAAUGGCCAUGAAAUAGCAUCAAUGACUACAGAGGCAGUAGACUCUCCUACAACACCGGAUAAUACGCUUUAAGAUUUGAAAAACCAUGUGCAGAAUUUCACUUCGCAAGAAUCUGGCUGUCAAACAGUUCGAAUUACUUCAACAUCUCCAUUGCAAUUAUAUUAUGUGAAUAAAAGACAAAUAUCGAAGAUUUA